GAGUUAAUGAAAUCACACACAGUGUGACUAGUAGCAAUCAUCGGGACGAGUUAAUGAAAUCACACACAGUGUGACUAGUAGCAAUCAUCGGGACGGGACAGAGAGAAAAUGAGGUAUUCAUAAUGUUUGCAAACACUAAUAGGACGGCAGUCAUGUUGGAAGUACUUUACAGCGUGCUGUUAUCGCCAUGGAAGUAGCCGACGUAACAACACUGCAUUGCCUUUCUGUGAUUAAAGCGUCGAGAGCUUACGAAUGGGUCAGACCAAAUGACAGGCGAGAUCUUUAUGGUCCUUGUACAGUAACUCAGGACUGUUUCAAUGAAAGAAGGAAAUCACAUCGUGCAGGUCUACAACCAAAUUAUGCUCAUGCUAAUCUAAUCAUUCAUGUAGGAAUAAACUUAAGUCAAAAGGGAAAGAAAAUACUGGCAUCACGAAUACGUGACGCAUUUGUCGGAAGAAACAGCACCUUUCAACAGGUGCGAGUCCUGUCCGCUUCCAAGGUGUUAUGACUUUGUGUUUUUGUCAUUAAUCAUAGGAAACACGUGUAAUUCGUACAAAGUACAGCCGGGAAAUGACACUUUAAUUGGAUAUGACAUAUAAAAAAAAUAACAUAAUUAUUUUUGAGAAAAUUAAUUGUUAAAAUCUUCCUUAAUUUAGGUAAUAAUUCUAUUACAAAUCAUCCUCAUUCAUAAAAUUAUUAAUUCAAUUAAAAAAAAACCCAUUGAAGUUGACAACAAGACUUAUCCAGCAAAUGUAUCAUAUGUAGGCUACAGUGAAAGAGAUACAAUUUGUUUAAAGUUUAACCCUACCUUCGGCUUAAUCCUUUCAUAGGUAUAAUAAUAAAUAAGUUACAGAAAAUUCCAGAAAAAAUAAAUCCAAAAUGUGCACAGCAAGAGACAGAUGAGUGAAUGAAAGACGGCAAACUUUUCUUUUACACCUGGUUUGUUGUUAGACGCAACCAAGCGGAACAAUCACGUGACCAUCCAUCAAAGCAGUAUAUCAUGCAACUUGUCAAAGUUUCCUGUGAUGAUAAGUCAUUAGCAGCAUAUAUUUUUAUAUUAAUGAUUUUUGCUCACAAAUAAAAUUUAUGCAUAUCCAAUUAAUUAAUUUCCUAUAAGAGACUUUGAUAUUGUUGGUUGUAUGUGAUUAUGCGAGACUUAGUCAAGUAAUUUCAGUAUGUGAAGGAACAGUUGGGCUAAAUAUAAUUCAAUAUCAAUAAAUACACUGAUUGUCUAGUACAACACUAAUGAUACAAAACUACUGGUGUAUAUCUGAUACAACACUAAUGAUACAAAACUACUGGUGUAUAUCUGAUACAGCACUAAUGAUACAAAACUACUGGUGUAUGUCUGAUACAACACUAAUGAUACAAAACUACUGGUGUAUAUCUGAUACAUUACUAAUGAUACAAAACUACUGAUGUAUAUCUGGUACAAUACUAAUGAUACAAAACUACUGGUGUAUAUCUGAUACAGCACUAAUGAUACAAAACUACUGGGACCCGUUUUACAAAACAACCUACGACAAAGUCGCAAGUCUUAAAUUGUAUUACACAGUUAUUAGUUUGAAUGAAGGAAUUAAAACGUUUCUGAAACUUAAUUUUCAACAUUAAUUCUUCACUAUUUUACAUUGGAGUGAAUUAUCUUACAAUAAGCUGGAGAAAUCCGAUAUGUAAAGUUGGUCGUAAGUCGUAAGUUCUUUUGUAAAAUGCACCCCUGGUGUUUGUCUGGAAUAAACUUUUGAAUUUGU